rnacentral:lncRNA from 1 species
GCAGGGCAGACAGUUCUGAUGAACGCUAACCAGUAGACGGUAACCACAGUGAUUGGCAGAGCUUGGACGCCAAGUCUAACCUGCUCUGAGCUGAUGUGCACUGUUGGCUCCUGUUGUGCUGCACAGGCCUCCGUACAAACGGAACUCAAGAGCAUACACCACUCAUCUCUGCUAGUGGAUCACCUCUGAACGCUGUCUGCGCUGGGCUGAGGAUGCUCAUUACUGAAGUUCAAGGUUCUUACUGAUGUCACUGGAAAAUUUGUCUCUGCUCUGAGAAAUCACAGGGGUUAGUCUUUGUGACUCGUGAGGUGACUACACUAACACCUGGUGUUGAUAAGAUGGCAUGAAAACAGCCAGCUCUGGAAGUCGUGCGGAGUGAUGGCUCAGAAGUGAAUAGUGCUUGCUGCUCUUUCCAAGGACCCGAGAUGGGUUACCAGCACCCAUGUUCUCCAGAUCACAGUCUUCGCUAACUCCAGCUCCAGGGCUUCUAACCCCCUCUUCUGGCCUCCAUGGUCUUUCAUGUGUAUUCUGCAGAAGCCAGAAGGUCCCAUCGAGCUGGAGGUACCGG